CGUGUAUGUUGUACCAGGUGGCGCUAGUCGGACGAUCAGUGAAUCGUUGAACGAAGCGCAGAAGCGGGUAUUAUUUCUGAUAGUUGUUCCUCGUUCAAUGCUGACGAUGACCGAUUUCGUCGGUAACGUGGUACGAUGUUACAUAAACAUCAAACGGCGGUGCUUACGUAAUUGGAGGUUUAAGGCACCGGGAGAGGUGCGCAUAACGCAACGAAUAAACCGUUCGUCGUAAGCGAAAUAUUUACACGCUCAUGUAACCAACCUCUUACGCGCGCGAAUGGCUGUACCGACCCUCUCCUAUAUGUAUAAUGCGACGCUACAAGAGGAAGAUUUACUCCUUCGCUGUAACAUCGUGCGUGGCACCGUCGUCGACUCGCUUUGAUGCACGUGGAUAAUCAAUUCCGUUGUUCGAGGAACACUGCUAACAAAGGACGUGCUACCACCACAAUGAUAGCGCCACUUUCAUGGCCGAGCUCGGGUCAAGGACCGACACGUUCUUGCCAAACGACUGGUUGCGUUAAGGAUUCUGCAAUGCGGGGGAAUUAACGCAACGACUGGCGACGUCGACAAACGCAAUUUCCCGUCGCUGGCGGUUGAACAGCACCGUGACAUAUCAUAUCAGUAGAACAACGUGAAGCCGUAUCCUUGGACGAAUUGGCUAAAUAGACUGUUUAUAGAGUAGACAUAGUGUUUUGAAUGUUCUGCGCGUUGCUAAGAUAAGCAGAACAAAAUCGAUUUUGUCAAAGAACGAUAAAUUUUGAUUGAGGUUUCGUGAAAUUAAUCUGACAGUAUGACAUUGGCACGAAGGAAGUUCAUAAUCGACUUCAAGGGAAUUGCUUUGAAUUUACCGCAUUAAUUUUCUCUUUUCUCAUGCUUCAUGCUAAUUCGAAGCUUUUUUUGUCGCAUAUGCGAUAGUUUGAUUAGAGAAGUUGUGUAAAGGAAAUUAGAUUUUUGCCGAUGAUAAUGGUUAAAAGUUUCGUAACUUGACUGAAAUUUUUCUUACGUAUCGUAGUUAUUUGCUUACAUCAGAUUACGAUACCGUGUUCGUUCUACGCGAUUCCAAUAAACUCCACAUUUUAAAUAAAUUUUACAAAUUUAAUAAAUGUUAGAUUUUUAAUUUACUUCGACGCUUGUAUU